AGCAGUGUUUGGCUGUGCAGCUGCACAGAAACUUUUUCUCGCACUGAGACCUACUCGGGCUGAACUCUGAGGUCCGCGACAGCUGAAUCGAGCCGUUCCCUUCUGCUCCUGCUCGGACUCUCUACAUCUUGGCUCCUGGCUUCCCGGCCGGCCUCAUGAACGUCCUGUCAAUUCACACCCAAGUUAUUCCCAGCUGCUGUUUAAGAGGACGCAUCAUUCUGUGUGAAGCCUCCCAUUGCAAAUACACCCCCCCCUUUCCAUUUCUCCAGUUCUCCAGUGUUCCCCCGCCUGGAGAAUGACCAUGGCCUACCCAAGCUCUGGCCACUGCCCUGUUUUCUCUUGCCUGUAAGCUCAGUGCCAUGUGCUGUCAUGACCCCUCAGAGCUGUUUGCAUGCACUCCCAUUAAAGCGUUGACCUUUUAGUGUCUAGUUGUUUGCAUGGGUUAUGGGUUGAUUUAUGCCCCCCCCCCCCAAUUUAUAUGUUGAAAUCCUAACUCUUAGGACCUCAGAAUGUGAUUUUAUUUGGAAAUAGGAUUGUGGCGGAUGUAAUUAGUAGAGAUGAGGUCAUACUGGAAUGUAGUGAGUCCUAAAUCAAAUAUGACUGGUGUUUUUAUAAAAAGGGGAAAUUUGGACACCGACAUAUGCAUAUAGGGAGAAGGCCGUGUGAAGAUGAAGGCAGAGACCAGGUGAUGCUUCUACAAGCCAGGGAACAUCAAAGGUUGCCAGCAAACCCCUGGAAACGGGGCAAGAGGCAUGCAGUAGAUUCUCCCCCAUGAUCCUCAGAAGAGACCAACCCUGCCGUGCUCUUGACCUUAGACUUCCGGCUUCCAGAAUUGUGAGACAGUACAUUUCAGUAGUGUCCGUAAUGAAUUAUUUUUUAGAAUAAUGAUCUGAAGGAUAUAUUACAAACUGUUAAAAUCUGACAAAGUUGAGUGCUGACUAUAUGGAGGUUGAUUGUACUACUCUGUACUUUUCUGUACACUUACAAUAUUUCACUAAAAACUACUUGAUUUA